GACGAACGCUGGCGGCGUGCUUAACACAUGCAAGUCGAACGGAAAGGCCCUGCUUGCAGGGUGCUCGAGUGGCGAACGGGUGAGUAACACGUGGGUGAUCUGCCCCUUACUUUGGGAUAAGCCUGGUAAACUGGGUCUAAUACUGGAUAGGACCAUGCUUUAGGUGGUGUGGUGGAAAGAUUAGUUUGGUUGUGGGAUGAGCUCGCGGCAUAUCAGCUUUUUGGUGGGGUAAUGGCCUACUAAGGCGUUGACGGGUAGCCGGCCUGAGAGGGUGGGCGGCAAGAUUGGGACUGAGACAGGGCGCAGACUCCUACGGGAGGCAGCAGUGGGGAAUAUUGCACAAUGGGAGCACGCCUGGUGCAGCGACGCCGCGUGGGGGAUGACGGCCUUCGGGUUGUAAACUCCUUUCAGCCAUGACGAAGCCCUUGUGGUGACGGUAGUGGUAGAAGAAGCACCGGCUAACUACGUG
rnacentral:rRNA from 1 species